GCAGAACCCUGACUAACACGUCAGUCUGAGGGGAUGGUGCCUCUUCAGCAUCCAUUAGGGGGGCGUACGCUUCCCAAGUGACAACUACCUCCCUGCGUGCUGUUUACAAAGUGCUUCCGCAGAUGUCCAGUUUAAUUCCCACACACACCCUGAGAAGGAGGAACUUGUAUUCGCCCAGAUGAGCGACCCAGGACCAAAAUAGUUCUGAGCUUUGCCUGAGGUCCCGCGGCUGUAAAGAGGAAGUUGCCCUGGAGUAAGUGGUUUGGAAGGAGAGCCAGCUGUGGAUGACCAGAACCGCUAAAACCUAAAUAACUGGAAAAGGCCUUAGAGAUCAACCAGCCUGGUGGUUUUUUUCAACAAAAACAUUUAAUGCUGAGAAAUGCUUUCAUCAAGUUUUCACCCGAUAGCAUUCCCACAGGCAC
ensembl:lncRNA